GAGCAUAGCCGAUUGACAGCGACGUCCGUAACUGCCUGGUAGUGGACUGUUCAGGGCCACGUGGAGUUUGUUAUGGAGAGUAGUAGUGUCCAUUGUCGCGACUUGCCGGAGAGUGGUGGGGCCACGUAGAGUCUGUUACAGAGAGUGGAGUGGUGUCCAUUGUCGUGACUUAUCGGAGAGUGGUGGAGCCACGCGGAGUCUGUUACAGAGAGUGGGGUGGUGUCAAUUAUCAUGACUUAUCGGGGAGUUCGGGCCGGACGGCUGAAGCUCGAUUGGAACGUCUGGAGGAGCGGAAUAGCUCUCUAUCUCAGCAAUCUAAGAGAAGGUCGGAUGUCUCUGGGAUUGCAGAUGGGUUAAGUGUGGUUGGGUGCUAUUGGUACUGCAGACAGAAGUCAUCUGCUGUAGAAGUCCGGAUGGAAACUUUCUGUUGGAGCAAUCCGGCUGGAGUCCGAUUGCUAGAGAAGUCUGUCUGAAAUUCAUCCGCUGUAGAAGCUCGAAUGGAGACCAGUUAUUAUAGAAGUUCGGAUGGAGAUUGGUUGCCGUGGAAGGCCGGAUGGAGAUCGCUCAUUGUAGAAGUUCGGAUG
rnacentral:lncRNA from 1 species